rnacentral:lncRNA from 1 species
UGGUGAUGUUUCUUUCUCGAUGCGAAAUUGAAACCCUGGAACAUGACAGUUUGGUGGAAUGGGUUGGUGGAACUGCUGGUUCCAUACCUGUUCCUACUUCAGGAGGUGUCCUGAAGAAUAGAAGUACCUUCUAG